GGCUCCAUCGUCUAAUGGUUAGGACACCAGGUUUUCAUUCUGGAAAUAGGGGUUCGAUUCCCCUUGGAGUCACCA
rnacentral:tRNA from 1 species